UUGAUUAGGUUUUGGUUGAGAUUUGAUUUAGAGUUUAGGAUUUGUCUAGGAUUUGAUUUAAGAUUUAAGAUUUGUUUAGGAUUUAAUUUAGGAUUUAGGAUUUGUUUAGAGUUUGAUGUAGGAUUUAACAUUUUUCUAGGAUUUGGUUUAGGAUUUGUCUAAGAUUUGGUUUAAGAUUUAGAAUUUAAUUAGAAUUUGACCUAAGAUUUAAUUAAGAUCCAUUAGAAAUUCAAUUAAGAUUAAAAUAGAAUUUGGUUAGGAUUUAUUUAAGAUUUAUUUAAGUUUUUUCU
rnacentral:lncRNA from 1 species